CAGCAGCCGCGGUAAUACGUAGGGUGCGAGCGUUAAUCGGAAUUACUGGGCGUAAAGCGUGCGCAGGCGGUUUUGUAAGACAGGCGUGAAAUCCCCGGGCUCAACCUGGGAAUGGCGCUUGUGACUGCAAAGCUAGAGUGCGGCAGAGGGGGAUGGAAUUCCGCGUGUAGCAGUGAAAUGCGUAGAUAUGCGGAGGAACACCGAUGGCGAAGGCAAUCCCCUGGGCCUGCACUGACGCUCAUGCACGAAAGCGUGGGGAGCAAACAGGAUUAGAUACCCGAGUAGUCCCUGUCUCUUAUAC
rnacentral:rRNA from 1 species